GCAGCGAUGGCCGAGUGGUUAAGGCGAUUGACUAGAAAUCAAUUGGGCUCUGCCCGCACAGGUUCGAAUCCUGUUCGCUGCG
rfam:Trichuris suis scaffold125.6, whole genome shotgun sequence.